GCGUCGGUGGUGCAACGGCUAGCAUCUGCUCCCGGAAAGAGUUAGAUCUGGGUUCGAAUCCUGGCCGACGGA